rnacentral:rRNA from 1 species
UAAUAGCAUAUAUUAAAUUUGUUGCGGUUGAACGCUCGUAGUUUAUUUUCUAAAGAACCUAUGGUUUGAAUUUGAUGUUUACACACUUUUAAAGAUUGUGUAAAUUUGCCCCUUUGAAGCAAUGAUAACGGUCGACCUUUAUGUUUCAAAGCAUGGAACGGACGUGUACGUACAUGAUAUUUGUAUUUAUUGUUUUGCAUGUCAGUGAAAUAACAGUUAUGAAACAUUGGAAGUACUUAUAUUCAGCUGUCAGAGGUGAAAUUCUUGGACCAGCUGAGGAUAAUCAGAGGCUAAUGCAUUACUGAAAGUUUAUUAGUUUAUCAAGAACGUAAGUUGAGGGUUCGAAGAUGAUUAGAUACC